rnacentral:lncRNA from 1 species
GGGGGGUGGUUUCUCCCAUGCUGUUCUCGUGAUAGCGAAUCUCACGAAAUCUUUUGGUUUUAAAACAGGCAGUUUUUUCCUGUGCUCCUACUUCCCUCUCUUCUGCCACCUUGUGAAGAAAGUGCCUGCUUCCCCUUCACCUGCCGCCAUGAUUGUCAGCUUCCUGAGGCCUCCCCAGCCAUGCUGAACUGUCUGAAGUCUGAGUGGGCUCAACCAGCUCCCUGUUCAACAUCCGGCAAGGUCCAAACGAAGGUGACAAUCAACAGGGAUCUUAUUUGGAAGCUCUGAUGGUGUCAGAAGUGGGAUCUGAAGUAGAGCCUUAACAAUCCCCAAGAGUGCUGAGUGAACAAGCAAGGUACCUGCAAGGACCUACUUUUGUCCUUUGAUCUCUCAAAGUGGCUGGGGAUCAUGGUGAAGGCCCCUCAUGCAUAAUAAAGCAGAGAAGAAUGUAAAAGGUUGCUACAUCAAUAAUCAAUUUCUGAUGGAGUCUCACUCUGUUGCCCAGGCUGGAGUGCAACAGCACGAUCUUGGCUU